UACGAAGGGGGCUAGCGUUACUCGGAAUUAUUGGGCGUAAAGAGUGCGUAGGCGGUAGAAUAAGUUGGGAGUGAAAGCCUUUGGCUUAACCAAAGAAUUGCUUUCAAAACUGUUCUGCUAGAGUACCAAAAGAGAUAGAAGAAUUCCUAGUGUAGAGGUGAAAUUCGUAGAUAUUAGGAGGAAUACCAGAGGCGAAAGCGUCUAUCUAGUUGGUAACUGACGCUGUUGCACGAAAGCGUGGGGAGCAAACAGG
rnacentral:rRNA from 1 species